UCACCUGAUGAACAACCUUAUUUCGCUGUGUUCUUACCGAGUACAACGUUGACGAAACAAACCAAUCACCUUGGAGAGCUGAUAC
rnacentral:snoRNA from 1 species